GUGAACGCUGGCGGUAGGCCUCACACCUGCAAGUCGAACGGCAGCACAGUAAGAGCUUGCUCUUACGGGUGGCGAGUGGCGGACGGGUGAGGAAUACAUCGGAAUCUACUUUUUCGUGGGGGAUAACGUAGGGAAACUUACGCUAAUACCGCAUACGACCUACGGGUGAAAGCAGGGGAUCUUCGGACCUUGCGCGAUUGAAUGAGCCGAUGUCGGAUUAGCUAGUUGGCGGGGUAAAGGCCCACCAAGGCGACGAUCCGUAGCUGGUCUGAGAGGAUGAUCAGCCACACUGGAAAUGAGACACGGUCCAGACCCCUACGGGAGGCAGCAGUGGGGAAUAUUUGACAAUGGGCGCAAGCCUGAUCCAGCCAUACCGCGUGGGUGAAGAAGGCCUUCGGGUUGUAAAGCCCUUUUGUUGGGAAAGAAAAGCAGCAGGUUAAUACCCCGCUGUUCUGACGGUACCCAAAGAAUAAGCACCGGCUAACUUCGUG
rnacentral:rRNA from 1 species